GCAUUGAAGACUGUGAAGAAGUUCUCGAUCUUCUCCCGGCACCCUGGAAAGAACACAGACAGGGUGAUCAUUAUCAUCCCUAUCCAUGAAUCCAUGCAUUCUGAAGGUAAGGUAUUGAGGACUUCAAAUGGAACCAAAGCUAGCUUAAAGUGUAAGUGAACCCCCAGUUUCAGCUCAAAUUUGAACACUGACAUAAAGAGAACUCAGGGAAGGUAGGGGAGAGGUGUAUCCCCGUGUUUUACGCCCACAGCGACUUCCUGAUACUUUUUUAAGCUAGUGCACAUCGUUAAGUCAGAGUGAUAUAAUGAGCCAUAUGAUAUUCGCCACACACCGUGGCGUUAGACAGUAGGCAUAUCCUCUUCUCGGACACAGCCAUCAACAUAAGCACUGCCCUAACUGAGCUCCACACAUCCACACCACCAUGGCAGUAGCAUCGCUCUCAGAGUUAGAAAUCAAGUGUCAUCAAAGUGCCACCGAAAAGCCAUUUUAACAUCACUAAAGGAACAGGACCCAAGUUUGGAGUAGAGUAGAAUGCUCAGAGCUCAGAGCAGAGUAGAACUGGCAGAAACAUUUGAUUUGUCACCAGGUUUUUCUGAAAUAACGCCAUUAACUUAGUAACGAUGACAAAAUGGCAUUGUGGGUACGUGCGACGACAAGCCUGCAGGGGGAGUAUGGGCAGGUUGGGAGCGCACCGGAUUGGCUGUGGGGGGUUGGACCCGAGUGCGAGCAGGUGUCAGCAGCACUCCAAUCAGGGAGUGUUUGUACUUAUGUGCCUGCUUUGUGUUUUAGUGGGAAGGGGGAAUCCAGAAAGGAUCGGGAGCGGAGAGACAGGGGCGAUCGCCGCCAGAGAUUGCAUUGAACGCACCCUGUGACCGCUUUGAGCGGAGUUAUAAUUUACCUUUAACCGAGUUAUGUUUUGAUGGACUUUGUUGGAGAGAAAAUAAAAGGACUUUCUGUUCAAAGAGCAAACCUGGUGUCCAAGCGCUCUGUGAACCCGUUACAGGCAUAAUUACUAUUUUGAAAAUCAUUGAAGACAUACUACACAAUUUGGGUAUAUAUAUACAUGAAAUAUGGAUUCACUGGCACUUUAAGGGCAUGAGGUGACACAGCCGUGCAUAUAUCAGGAUCUCGUUGCUAACCAUGUGAGCGCUUUGGUCGUAAAAGUCCGUCUGCGGCGUGAAAGAGUUCCUGCGCAUGGCGUUAGACAUCGGAGGCAGGGGCUGACCCUCGGGCUGGCCUAGGACAUGCUGAUCCAUCAUGGGCAUGUGUCCAGGGGAGGGGGGCGUGUGUGGGGACGGCUGACUCACCGGGUGUGGAGGCAUCGGAGUCAUUUGAUGGGGAGAGGGCUGGUUUACCGGAUAAGGGGCUUGGUUCGUCAGAUGGGGAGGUUGUUGGUUCAUCAGAUGGGGAGGUUGUUGGUUCAUCUGAUGGGGAGGUUGUUGGUUCAUCAGAUGGGGAGGUUGUUGGUUCAUCUGAUGGGGAGGUUGUUGGUUCAUCUGAUGGGGAGGUUGUUGGUUCAUCGGAUGGGGAGGUUGUUGGUUCAUCGGAUGGGGAGGUUGUUGAUUCAUCUGAUCGGGAGGUUGUUGGUUCAUCUGGGGGGGAGGUUGUUGGUGCAUCUGGGGGAGGAUGUUGGUUCAUCUGGGGGAGGUUGUUGGUGCAUCUGGGGGGAGGAUGUUGGUUCAUCAGAUGGGGAGGUUGUUGGUUCAUCUGAUGGGGAGGUUGUUGGUUCAUCUGAUGGGGAGGUUGUUGGUUCAUCUGGGGAGGCAUGUGAGAGCCCAUGUGUCCCGGGUGAGGGGGCGAGGAGCUGGGCUGCUGCUGGAGAGGUGGAGGGUACAUGUCCGAGGGCUGGGGCUGCUGAGGCUCGUAGGGAGAGGGGCCGGAGUCGGGGACCUGCGGUAGGUAGCCUGCGGCCGGGCCGGGGGGCACGGGGUAGAACUGGUGGACCUCUGAUGGGUGGUGCUGUGGAACCAUGCCGUCUUGGAGGAUGGUAGUUGGGGCUGUAAGAGAACAUAUAGUGUAUUUAUAACACAUAUUUAGAUUUACAUGAAGAAAUAACCAAUAGCUCAAUAACUUGCUAACUUCAGUUAUAUGUAAGAUACAGAUGGUGGAUUUUAAGUAUAACACAAACACAUACCUCAUGAUGUGUGCCCAUAUGAGAAAACGACUGCAUGGAUUUUGUGUAUCAUCUUAUCCUAGCUAGCUGUGUUGCAUAUGGG
ensembl:lncRNA